rnacentral:snRNA from 1 species
GUGCUCGCUUCGGCAGCACAUAUACUAAAAUUGGAACGAUACAGAGAAGAUUAGCAUGGCCCCUGCGCAAAGACACAUCUGUGUGAAAUCACCAAAGGGUAA